UACAGAGGGGCAAGCGUUAUUCGGAAUUAUUGGGCGUAAAGGGCGCGUAGGCGGCUUUGCAAGUGACGGGUGAAAUCCCUCGGCUUAACCGAGGAACUGCCUGUCAGACUGCAUGGCUUGAGACCGGGGAGAGGUGAGUGGAAUUCCCAGUGUAGCGGUGAAAUGCGUAGAUAUCCGGAGGAACACCGGUGGCGAAGGCGGCAUCCUGGACCGGCAUUGACGCGUGAGG
rnacentral:rRNA from 1 species